GACGAACGCUGGCGGCGUGCUUAACACAUGCAAGUCGAACGAUGAAGCUGGAGCUUGCUCUAGCGGAUUAGUGGCGAACGGGUGGGUAACACGCGAGCAAUCUGCCCUUGACUCUGGGAUAACUGCGGGAAACUGUAGCUAAUACCGGAUACUUUCACCGGGGGGCAUCCUCUGGUGAUGAAAGAAUUUCGGUCAAGGAUGAGCUCGCGGCCUAUCAGCUUGUUGGUGAGGUAACGGCUCACCAAGGCGACGACGGGUAACCGGCCUGAGAGGGUGACCGGUCACACUGGGACUGAGACACGGCCCAGACUCCUACGGGAGGCAGCAGUGGGGAAUAUUGCACAAUGGGCGCAAGCCUGAUGCAGCAACGCCGCGUGAGGGAUGAAGGCCUUCGGGUUGUAAACCUCUUUUAGCAGGGAAGAAGCGAAAGUGACGGUACCUGCAGAAAAAGCACCGGCUAACUACGUGCCAGCCGCCGCCGUAA
rnacentral:rRNA from 1 species